UACAGAGGGUGCAAGCGUUAAUCGGAAUUACUGGGCGUAAAGCGCGCGUAGGUGGUUUGUUAAGUUGGAUGUGAAAUCCCCGGGCUCAACCUGGGAACUGCAUUCAAAACUGACUGACUAGAGUAUGGUAGAGGGUGGUGGAAUUUCCUGUGUAGCGGUGAAAUGCGUAGAUAUAGGAAGGAACACCAGUGGCGAAGGCGGCUUCCUGGACCGGUUCUGACACUGAGGAGCGAAAGCGUGGGGAGCAAACAGG
rnacentral:rRNA from 1 species